rnacentral:rRNA from 1 species
UACGGAGGAUGCGAGCGUUAUCCGGAUUUAUUGGGUUUAAAGGGUGCGCAGGCGGGCGAUUAAGUCAGCGGUGAAAGGCUCGGGCUCAACCGGAGCAGUGCCGUUGAUACUGGUUGUCUUGAAUGCGGUCAAGGCCGGCGGAAUGUGGCGUGUAGCGGUGAAAUGCAUAGAUAUGCCACAGAACACCGAUAGCGAAGGCAGCUGGCCGGGCCUGCAUUGACGCUGAGGCACGAAAGCGUGGGGAUCGAAC